rnacentral:tRNA from 2 species
GCCCCCGUAGCUCAAUUGGAUAGAGCGGCGGACUUCGGAUCCGCUGGUUGGGGGUUCGAGUCCCCCCGGGGGUA